CUCAAGUAUUAAAGGUAAUGCCUGCCCAGUGACAACUAAACGGCCGCGGGAUCCUCCACCGUGCAAAGGUAGCAUAAUCACUUGUCCCCUAAAUAGUGACUAGUAUGAACGGCCUAAUGAAGAUUUUACUGUCUCUUGCAGCCAAUCUGUGAAACUAAUUUAUUAGUACAAAAGCUAAUAUCUUUACAUAAGACGAAAAGACCCUGUGGAACUUUAAGCAUGUCUCACCAAAUGAUACUACUGCUUUUAGUUGGGGCAACUUUGGAAAUAAACAAAACUUCCAAUACCUGACAAGAUAAACAUAUCUUUCCAUUACCCUUACGACCCAGCUCUUGCUGACCAAAGAACCAAGCUACCCCAGGGAUAACAGCGCCAUCCCCUCCCAGAGCCCAAAUCGACGAGCGGGGUUUACGACCUCGAUGUUGGAUCAGGGCCCCCAAACAGUGCAACAGCUGUUGAAGGUUUGUUUGUUCAACAAUUAAAGCCCUACGUGAUCUGAGUUAAGACCGGAGU
rnacentral:rRNA from 1 species